rnacentral:tRNA from 1 species
GCCUGGGUAGCUCAGCUGGUAGAGCAGCUCAUUCGUAAUGAGCAGGUCAGGGGUUCGAAUCCCCUCCCAGGCUCCA